AAAAACAUGUCUUUUUGAGUUAUUUUAAAAGUCUGACCUGCCCACUGAAAUUAUUUAAAUGGCCGCAGUAUUCUAACUGUGCAAAGGUAGCAUAAUCAUUAGUCUUUUAAUUGAAGGCUGGUAUGAACGGUUGGACGAGGUAUAAGCUGUUUCAUAUAAAUUUAUAAUAGAAUUUUAUAUUUUAGUCAAAAAGCUAAAAUUUAAUUAAAAGACGAGAAGACCCUAUAAAUCUUUAUACUUUAAGUUGUUUAAAUUUUUUAGAUUAAUUUUAUUUUUAUAAUUUAGAGUAUUUUGUUGGGGUGAUAUUAAAAUUUAAUGAACUUUUAGUUGUUAAAAAUCAUUAAUUUAUGAGUUAUUGAUCCAUUAAUAGUGAUUAUAAGAUUAAGUUACUUUAGGGAUAACAGCGUAAUUUUUUUGGAGAGUUCAUAUCGAUAAAAAAGUUUGCGACCUCGAUGUUGGAUUAAGAUAUAUUUUUAGGUGUAGCCGCUUAAAUAUUA
rnacentral:rRNA from 1 species